UACGUAGGCAGCAAGCGUUGUUCGGAGUUACUGGGCGUAAAGGGUGCGUAGGCGGUUUUCUAAGUCUGGUGUGAAAUCUCCCGGCUCAACUGGGAGGGUGCGCUAGAAACUGGGAGGCUAGAGUGUGGGAGAGGAGAGUGGAAUUCCUGGUGUAGCGGUGAAAUGCGUAGAUAUCAGGAGGAACACCGGUGGUGUAGACGGCUCUCUGGACCAUUACUGACGCUGAGGCACGAAAGCGUGGGUAGCAAACAGG
rnacentral:rRNA from 1 species